CAGUCGCCGCGGUAAUACGGAGGAUCCAAGCGUUAUCCGGAAUCAUUGGGUUUAAAGGGUCCGUAGGCGGUCUUGUAAGUCAGUGGUGAAAGCCCAUCGCUCAACGGUGGAACGGCCAUUGAUACUGCAGGACUUGAAUUAUUGGGAAGUAACUAGAAUAUGUAGUGUAGCGGUGAAAUGCUUAGAGAUUACAUGGAAUACCAAUUGCGAAGGCAGGUUACUACCAAUUGAUUGACGCUGAUGGACGAAAGCGUGGGUAGCGAACAGGAUUAGAGACCCCAGUAGUCCUGUCUCUUAUACA
rnacentral:rRNA from 1 species